rnacentral:rRNA from 1 species
GACGAACGCUGGCGGCGUGCUUAACACAUGCAAGUCGAACGAUAAGGCCCUUCGGGGUACACGAGUGGCGAACGGGUGAGUAACACGUGGGUGAUCUGCCCUGCACUUCGGGAUAAGCCUGGGAAACUGGGUCUAAUACCGGAUAGGACUCCUGGCUUCAUGGUUGGGGGUGGAAAGCUUUUGCGGUGUGGGAUGGGCCCGCGGCCUAUCAGCUUGUUGGUGGGGUAAUGGCCUACCAAGGCGACGACGGGUAGCCGGCCUGAGAGGGUGACCGGUCACACUGGGACUGAGAUACGGCCCAGACUCCUACGGGAGGCAGCAGUGGGGAAUAUUGCACAAUGGGCGCAAGCCUGAUGCAGCGACGCCGCGUGAGGGAUGACGGCCUUCGGGUUGUAAACCUUUUUCAGCUAUGACGAAGCGCAAGUGACGGUAGUAGCAGAAGAAGGACCGGCCAACUACGUGCCAGCAGCCGCGGUAA